rnacentral:rRNA from 1 species
UACGGAGGGGGCUAGCGUUGUUCGGAAUUACUGGGCGUAAAGCGCACGUAGGCGGCUUUGUAAGUCAGAGGUGAAAGCCCGGGGCUCAACCCCGGAUGUGCCUUUGAGACUGCAUCGCUUGAACGUCGGAGAGGUGAGUGGAAUCCGAGUGUAGAGGUAGAAAUUCGUAGAUAUUCGGAAGAAAGCACCACGUGGCGAAGGGCGG